rnacentral:sRNA from 1 species
AUUGUCUUCGAGUCGGCUAGCCGGAGCGCUUUCGGGUCUGUAAAGGGAGAGUGGCGCAUGCGCAUAUUCGGGGCGGAAGGCGCAUUAAGAGCAGGUCCUGACCAGCUCUAAAGAUGGGUCAGCUGCUGUAUUUCCAAGAACCCCAUGACUUCCAGGGCCCCUUGUUCCCAGGAAGGCCCCACACCCCAGUCGUCCUGUGCAUAUCCUCACGGGCCAGCACCUGGUAGCUGCUGGAAGGUUUCUGGGGGAUGCCUGGGCCCCUCCAGCCCUACCUCUAGGCCUGCCACUUUACAACUGAGAACCUCCCACUACGGCCUGCUGAGCCCUUCAGAGUCCUUGCUGCAGGCCCUGUUUACUUUUUCCUGAGAAGAUUUAUGGUCUGCAUUAUGUCUGGAGCCAGAAGUAAGCUUGCUCUUUUCCUCUGCGGCUGUUACGUGGUUGCCCUGGGAGCCCACACCGGGGAGGAGAGCGUGGCUGAACAUCACGAGGCUGAAUAUUACAUGGCUGCCGUGUACGAGCAUCCAUCCAUCUUGAGUCUGAACCCUCUGGCUCUCGUCAGCC